CUGUAAAACACACCUGAAGGCCGAGAUGGAGAACACAAAGAUGCUGGUCCUCUCCGCCUGUUUGAGCUCCAUGUUGCAGUGCUGCAUUCAGCAGCAACUUAUAACACCUUGUACCUCCUGCACUAAUACAACAGUGACCGGCGACAACACCACCACACUGCCUGGUCACACCUCUGGUCUUGUUCUCUCCAACAACUUGUCAACAGCUAUCACCCCAGCUUUCAACCACUCCAGCACUACCACCCCCACCACUUCAUCACGGCAGCCCAUAAAUUCCUCUACAGCCAUGCCACCGGCUCACACUUGCCAUCAUCACAGUUCAGCUGUGACAUCAGCCUCUUUGUUCGGGCCCUGCAGCCAUGUACUGGUGACCAUUCUGAUAGUGUUUGCAUUGCACUAAAAAUGUAAAACAAAUCACAGAUUCAUCAUUUCAUCAUUUCAUUUCAACUCAUUUUAUUGGGUCUUUGUGUGAUUGCCAUUUAUGUUUCAUAAUAAUGCUGUUCAGUGCUCUGUUUACACUGUGCCUUUUCCCACUUUUGAUCAAGAAUGUUCCACACAAUGUCAAUAAUUGGUGUAUAACUCGACGCUUCAGAUAUGUUGCUAAAAUUGCCAAAUCUUGUGUUCAUGUUUGCUAUUUUUGAUUAAAAUUCUUUUUUAUAUUAGCAUCUGGUAUGAACAUGAUGGGAGUUUUUUGGGGAGCACUGGUCAAUAAAACUAAACAUGGUACUGUCCCAGCUGCCACUGUAUUUGCAUCUUGCUUUUAAUAUUAAGACCAUAACCAAUUGUGUUCAAACAACAUCACAAUGCAGGCUGCUCGUCUUGUGCUACAUGUAAAUGGCUGUUUUUGUUUUCUUAUAACUCUGUUUUUGGGUCAUUGAAAGACUGCAUUUCAGUUUAUCUGAAGAUUUUUGCAAACUGAUGUCUGUUAAAGUAUGAGGAUGACUUACACUGUGGCUCAGGUUAGUGAAGGUAAAAUUGAUUGAUUGCAUACCAAGAUUGUUGUUUAAAUGCAGGAAAUGUAUGAAUUUGCACAUUACCAAGGUCUGAUAUUAUAUGUUUAUCAUUGAACUUAAUAAAGUAACAAAUGUUUUCCUGAGCAAUUUAAAUAAAGAAUUUGGUAUAUAUUACUCUUCAUUCAAGGUGAGGCUUUUAUAGAUAUUAUCUUCAAGUGCCUGUAGCCUUUUGGUCUGUGAUUUGCUCACUUCUAGAUUGAUUCUACUGAUAAAUGUAUUAAAAAAAAAAAAAAAAACGAUAUGAAAAGAUACAAAUCACUGCGGGUAUUUAGAUAAAGAAAGUGACAAGAUAUGUCUUACAUCAAUAUCUUUGUCCUUUUCAACUGGCUCAGUGUGAGGUUUUGCAUUUGUUGUCGAUAGCUGGGGUGGAGACUAAGGGAAAGCAUCCUGGAGGGAAAAAGGCAUCAGGUGAAAUCUGAAUACCUUAUAAAAGGCUACUCUCUGGUAAAACACUUCUUACAAAGCUCUCAGCAAGGAUACACAAGUGUAUGACCGGCCCUGGCCUUGAAAGGAAAGGAAAAGAUAAACAUUAUACUAACUGUUAAAACAACAGCAAGGCUUUCAAAAGAUAUCUCCAGCUGUCUUUUUGUCCUUGAGAGGAAACCAUCCCUUAUCCAACAUGAAGUACCUCGUCCUUGGGCUGUUUUCACUGACUCUGCUGGGAUUCAUCUGCACAGAGUCUGGGAAGAAUACGGAAACAAUGGCAGUAAAAAAACCCUCCAAUUCAACCCAGUCAUUCAAAAACACCUCCAAUUCAACCCAGUCAUUCCAAAACAGCACCACUAACAACAUUGACAGCAACGGCAACAACAACAACGACAACACCAUGUCCACAAUACCCUCUCUGGUUGGCAAGACUACAAGGAACGGACAGAACCUCUUCACGUCUGUCAGUCUGAUGUUCGCAUCAUUUCUUCUUCACACUCUUUAGCAAUGAGCUCCUUCGUGAGGCUCAGAGCUGGAGGGAGUCUUAGUCUACAAUACUGCAGAAAAAUCAUUGCAAAUCUGAUCUUAUUUUAGAAAAUGUGCUACAGAGGAUAUAUGAUUUAAGUUGUGUGUGUUUAAAAAGAUGGUGGAAAAUGAGGUUAGGAAAUGGUUAGCAAAUCAAAGUCACAUAGCCAGCUUAUAAAUUAACAAACAGAUGUAAACUUUGACAGACUGUGGUUUAGAUUUUGCACUCAUAUGUGAUAGAAAGAGCCGAUAUGAAGUAUAAUAAAUCAUGAAUCAUAAUAAGUCCAAACAUGUUCAUUUGAUUUUAAGGAUGAUAGCUGCUUGAUCUGCAUUCAAGGGUGGCGUAUCCUAAAUCCAAUUCACACUUUGUUAUAUUCAGUGGCAUAUUCAAAUAUCAAUACCACACAUUGUUUGGUAAAAUGCCCUGAAGUUCACGAUAGAAGCAACGCAGGUUGAAUCUAGAUCGCAUGUGCAGUGACAAAGAUUGUUUCACUAUGUCAUUCAUUCAUUCAUUCAAGUGUGGUUCAUGCUACCGGACUACUCCCAAUGGAGGCUCCAGAUGGUUUGAUUUACUGUAUGUUAUCAUUAGCAAUGCAUGUCUGCUGCAAACAUGUAAAAGAAGUGUGAUUUAUGUACUGUAGAUAGUUAGAAACAUAAAUAAAAAGAGAAAAACUGAUAAAAACAA